CCUACGGGAGGCAGCAGUAAGGGAAUAUUGGACAAUGGUGGCAACACUGAUCCAGCCAUGCCGCGUGCAGGAUGACGGUUCUAUGAAUUGUAAACUGCUUUUAUACGGGAAAAACCCUCAAGACGUGAUUUUGAGCUGAUUGUACCGUAAGAAUAAGGAUCGGCUAACUUCGUGCCAGCAGCCGCGGUAAGACGAAGGAUCCAAGCGUUAUCCGGAUUUAUUGGGUUUAAAGGGUGCGUAGGCGGACUCUAUAAGUCAGUGGUGAAAUCCCAAAGCUUAACUUUGGAACUGCCAUUGAUACUGUAAGUCUUGAGUAUGUUUGAAGUGGGGCGGAAUGUAUUGUGUAGCGGUGAAAUGCUUAGAUAUAAUACAGAACACCAAUUGCGAAGGCAGCCUCACUAAACCAUAACUGACGCUGAGGCACGAAAGCAUGGGGAGCAAACAGGAUUAGAUACCCUGGUAGUCCAUGCCCUAAACGAUAGAAUACUCGAUAUGUGCGAUAUACAGUACGUGUCUAAGCAAAGCAUUAAGUAUUCCACCUUAGGGGAGUACGCUCGCAAGAGUGAAACUCAAAGGAAUUGACGG
rnacentral:rRNA from 1 species